rnacentral:ncRNA from 1 species
ACACACAUCCUAACCGAUGCUUGUGCCAACAAGCAAACCCAGCGAACCUUUUCUCCUAACACUUGAGUGGCUGCAUCGCGAGGUGCAGCUGUCGGCGGUCGGGCCCUAGCUUUCUGGGGCCGGAGUCCUUGCUGGGCUCACCGUUGCGGGUGAGCAUCGGCCGUUCGACGGGGGCCGCUCUUGGGCCUCGCACACGGGAGAGUGCGAGGGCGGCGUUUCCCACUCCAGCCGUCCUUCGGGACGGCUGCGCACCAACCAAAACACUAUGCUAAAACCGACUAAAGACCGAUCCUUUGAGGGGCGCCCUUCGGGGAGCUUCGCUUCGGAUCAAAAACAAACUAAAGACAACUCUCAACAACGGAUAUCUUGGCUCUCGCAACGAUGAAGAACGCAGCGAAAUGCGAUACGUAGUGUGAAUUGCAGAAUUCCGUGAAUCAUCGAAUCUUUGAACGCAUAUUGCGCCCGCGGCCUCGGCCAAGGGCAUGUCUGCCUGAGCGUCAUUAUAACACCUCACACCCCUUUUAGGGGAGUGGAUCUGGCCGUCCGGGCUCUUCGGAGCCUGGUUGGCUGAAAGGCAGAUGCAAAGCCAGCAGCCCAUUUCAACGGCAAGGCGUGGUAGACCGCAUCGCGGGCGAUCGUCGUGCCGGGGCUGAUUGCGGCUUUCGCAUAAGCAGGAACCGCCGCUUUGAACGGACUUCGGUCCCGAAGGAGCCGGCCUUGACCCAUUGACCUCAGAUCAGGCAAGA